AAGACAUUUAUAUGUGCACGGUCUGAUUAGCCUGGCCUAACGUGUGGGGCUCUGGGCUGACCCUCGGCACUGCCAGCAUAGGGUGUGGCUGGAGACCGCGAGCACGCUGGUGCCUGAAGUGGACGCAGGGAUUCCCGGUGUAGACCUAUCUACUCAGGUGAAGCAGGGGUUGUUGGCAAGGUCACAGAAAAGGAGACCAAGCUGGUCUGAAGAGCUGGACUCGGCAUCGAUUUAAGCAUGGGCCUUGAUGGAGAGAGGUGCUGAGAGAAAGGAUAGCAUGAAACCAAGCGUUAGUGUAGACCUCUGUCGUCACUAAGCACACACAGACACACACGCAUGCACACGUGUGCUUGAACAAAGUCUUCCCAUUUUCC
rnacentral:lncRNA from 1 species